UGGAGGGCAAGGUACAGACGGGCACAACCAGAAAGAGCAGGGGCUCUGCUGGAACAUGAGGGCGGUGAAGAUAAAUCUCUCUGUCACAUGCUUUUUCUGCACCUUCCAGGGAUGUUCUGUGUGUCACAAGGGCUGACUCAGCCAUCUGGACUCUGUCACUCUGGCCACUACUGCACAGGGGGUGCUGUGUCCCCAACUCCCAUCCAACACAAAGUGGAGGGCCCAGGGUUCUCUGGGAAUGACAUCUGCCCCCCUGGCUUCUUUUGCCCCAUGGGAACAGGUUUUCCACUUCCAUGCCCUCCUGGGUUCUAUUCCUCUGCUCGUGGUCUGAACAGCAAGGACCAAUGCCAGCCAUGUCCUUUAGGACACUACUGUGGUCAGCCUGGACUAUCUCAAGUCCUGGAGGCUAGUCUAUGCCAUGCAGGAUACAUCUGCCUUGGAGGAAGCACUGUCCCCUCACCCACUGAUGGGACCCAUGGAUACAGAUGUCCUCCAGGAUUCUACUGUCCUCCAGGGGCCCACCAUGAACUACCCUGUAAGCCUGGUACCUUUAGCCCACUGUCUGGGGCUGACACCUGCCUAUCCUGCCCACAAGGCACCUACUGUCCCAAGGCAGCUACUGUGGAACCUAUCACUUGCCCA